ACGUAUCUGUCCAUAAAGCCUAUAAAGAAUUAUUCUUAAUAUACAGUUCACAAUACUUCAGCUUGUUAUUCUAAUUAAGUGAGGGUCAUUUUAUCAGUAAAAUACAUAAAAUACAUAUUAUUUUAUUUGAAAGAUUUCUAUAAAUUAUUUAAAUCAUACUCGUUUCUCCAAUAAUUAUUUAAAAGUAAUCCUAUAGCUCCCUCUGGUGGCCAUUAUAGGUACUAAGAAUUGCAAGCUUGAUUUAUAAGUUAUGAUAGUUUUAAUUUUAUGCUGGCUCUUGAAAAUGAUAAAGCUAUGAAACUUACUGUGCUUCCUUCAAAUGAGGACUUCUACUUAUAUAAAAAAUUAUGAAGAGUUAGAAUGAAAAAUUUUAAAGAUAUAGUAAAAUAACUAUUGUAUUUUUUUAUGUUACUUUAAUAAAUCUCUAUGGCAACACCAUUUAAGCUAUCCUAAACCCAUUCACAAUUUAACAUCUCAGUAUAUUGGCAUCAUGUUGAAAAAGGAGUAUGGAGUAGUAUGAGGAGGAGUAUGAAUUCAUUUACAGGCUGAUUUUAUCAUAAAUCCACAAUAAAAUUUCUGAGUUCUGUAUCAAUCUGUGUUGUUGUUUGUUUAUUUUUAUCUUUUAUUUUUCAUAGGAAGAUAACUGACCCUUUACUCUCCUUUUUAAUAAAUGUGCUUAUAAACCAAGGACAAGCUAUUUAUAGCUGUAUUUAUAAACUGCUUACUACUGACUAUUAAUAUUGGGACAAGGCUUUAUAAAGCAUGAACUGACUAUUUACUAAUGAGUGCAGUUAUUAUAAAGUGUUAUCAAUGAAUUUGCUAAUGUUAACAAAUUAGACAUUAUUUUACAGUGUUAUCAAAUCCUUAAAUGACUCAUAAGCAUUUGUGAAAGUUCUGCUUGCAUUACAGCUUAGUCUUGAUCUGUGAGCUGAACAGAUUUACUGUUACAUCUAUGAGAUUAUGUAAAUUCAAAUAAAUAUAAUGUCACAGGAUGUCAUAGGUCAGUAUCAAAUGAGUUUGAAAUUAUUAUUUGCAGCACAAAUAAGGUUUUUUUUAGGAUUUUUAAAAAUCCCUAAAACUGACAGAAAAAGGUUAAGGCCUAAGCUAUUUCUAUGUGAGUGGCUAAAUUUAUUUUUGUUUUUAUAAUUGUAAUACACAAACUAUGAAAUUAUACAAAAUGUAUAAAAAGGUAAAUAAAUAAAUACGCACACAUUAAAAAAGCAGCCAAGUCGAAUGAGUUUCCUUUUUUAUAUAGAUUAAAAUUGAAGACAGAAGCAAGUGGUAAAUGUGGUCACUUUAAUAUUCAAAUCCAGUAGAUCCAGUUUAUGUUCACGUGGCUGUUUUCGUUUAUAUUCGCCAAGCUAUUAUGUGUUUUGAAAUAAUCUUGUCCGUGAUGUGUUCGUUCGUACGUCGAAAGGCAGAAUCCUGCAGCUCGAGAGAUAUAUGUUAUUCUGCCAGUCGCGCUUUCAAAUAGUCUUGCACACUUAAACAGGUCACAAACACCUGCAUUUAGCUCUUGUAGUGUUACAAUGGGUUUAUUGUGUGCAUUUGUGGUAAUAUUUUAUUUAAAAAAGCUCUUAAACAAGAAUAAAUUCGUUUGUUUUGAGCUGGACACUGUACGCGCUGAUCGGAGGCGGUGAUUUCAGAUAGGCAGCUGCAAAUAUUUCAUUUUCACACAAACAGUUCAAAAACAUCUGAAUUUAGCUCUUGGUGUGUUCUAAUUGGUUGAUUGUGUGAUAUCGCUGUAAUAAUUUAUUUUUAAAAGCUUUAAAACAGGAAUAAAUUCGUUUUUUCUGAGCUCUUUACUCCAGACGCUCGUGGUCACAGCGGUGAUUCAUCUCUCCUAUUUCUCACAUAUCUCUGGCCAGAAAUAAUUUAUCCAUGAGCCCUGAACCGGUAAUAAUCAGAUAUGUUGGUUUAGCUUGUCAGUGUGAAUUAAAUCUAAGUAUUUAUUUGUAUUUUUAACCGAUUUAAAAGUGAAAGUAAAAGUUCGGGAAUUGAACCUGUAGGGGCGCAAUUUCUCUCAGACAAUGGAAGUCUAAGCACAUAUACUCAAACAGAGGGACAGAGUGAGAUGAGAUGUCUGACAGUUUUUUAAUUUUCUGUUAUCCAUACAGUGUUGUAAAGUCGUUAAACUAUGCAUAUUUCCUCAGAAUGACUUUUUCAUCUGUAUGAAAAAAUUCUUUGACGUGUUUGGAAGCUGCAAUUUAAAAAUACAAUAAUUAUUCCCUUUGUAAGGUCAUUUAAAAAAAUCACCACGGCAAAACCAUUCAAGCUAUCCAAAAUCCAUUCACAAUUUAAGUUCCUAUCAGAAAUACUGAUGUGUGUUCAGAGUUUUGUGAAAUUCUAAGUAUGUUAUUUGCCUCAAAAUCACCUGAGAAGUAUUCCAGUUUGACAUGUUGCCACGCCAACAAUUUUUUAGAUAUCAAUAUCCCCCUUGCAGAUUUAUAUCGGCUGUGUUUUAACAUUAUUCUGAUGAAGUUUGAAGCAAAUCGAGUAAUAAUAAGAUGCUGAAUUCAAAUCAUUUUGAAAAUGACACACUUCCUUCUGCCAGUUGGUGGCGCUAUAACUUUGACUCCUAAUAGUCACAUAUAUGCGAUCGACAUCAUACAACGAAUAAUCUGAUGAAGUUUGAUUAAAAUCAGGAAAUGUAUGUGGACGGUAUUAGACACUUCCUGUUUCUCAUUUCUCGCCAUAAUUUCAACGCCUCGCCACGAGCAAACCGUUCGAGAUAUCAAAAAUCCCCUGGCAAUUUUUCAUCCCCAGUGUCUUGAGAUCAUGUUGACCAAGUUUGGCGGCAAUCGAGAAAAAAACCUAUGACAAGUAUUUCAAAUUCCAGAGCAUGCGCUUUUUACAUAACUCUAAAUAGCUGACUUCCUGUUGGGUGGAGCCUAUGACAUGCAAUACGAAAGUUGUUCGGCACGAUGAGAUCUAUAUGUGUACUGAGUUUCAUAUGAAUAUGUGCAAGUAUGUGUGAGCUAUACAUCAACAUUUCUGACUGUGUUCCAGGGGGCGCCGUAGAGCCCCUGUGCCACGCCCGGGUCCCAGCCUCUGCAGGCUCCUAAAGGCCACAGAUUCCAAAGUGUGCGCAAAUUUUCAAGAGUUUUUGAGUAUGUUAAGGACCCCAAAAGCCCCCACAACUUUGACGAAAAAUUUGAAUACUAAACCCUAAAUAGCCAACUUCCUGUUGGGCGGAGCCUAUGAUAUGCAAUACAAAAGUUGUUUGGAUUGAUGAGAUUUAUAUGUGUACCGAGUUUCAUACGUCUACGAGCAAGAAUGUAUGAUAUAUGGCCCUCCAUAUUCCAGGGGGCGCUGUAGAGCCCCUGUGCCACGCCCGUGUAUCAGUCUCUGCCCGGCCCUAAUGGCCGCAGGUUCCAAUCUGUGUGCCAAUUUUCAAGACUUUUUAAGCACGUUAAGGGCCCCAAAAGCCCCCGAGACGUUGGAAAAAAAUAAUAAUAAUAAUAAUAAUAAUAAUAAUAAAAAAUAAUCCUAAGGAAAACAAUAGGCCUCUCGCCCUUUGGGCUUGAGCCCUAAAUAUAGCUGCAAGCAGCGAUGGCGGGCUCAAGCCGUCAGUGCAACACCACCCCGGUGGCAUCGGGAAAACUGUGCCCAGCGGGCAUAAGCAUUUACAGUAACCCUCUGGCAAUCAAAUUUUAAGGGAUAUGGCAGUUAAAGGGUUAAUCCGGUUAUGCCUGUUUUUGUUUUGUUUUUUACUUUAUUUUUCUUUUCUCUGUGCCGGAUUGCUGAUGUCUUUUACCCGGGCAUAGAUGUCCAUCCAUCAAUUACGAACAUGCAUCCGCAAAUGUCAGAGCGGUCGCAAGCGCGGAUGGGAGAAUGGCGCAUGUUUUAUUUUUUUUGAGCUACUGGGAUGGUGCCCCCUCUGGGAGUUGGUGCCCUACGAAGACUGCGUAUUCUGCAUAUAGGGAGCGGCGGUACUAUCUGGAAAAUAUAUUCCUCAAACCAUCAUACAAGAGGAGGUGAUGCUAGUACUUCAAGAAUCUGUUCAUAAAGCCUAUAUAUAAAGUCUUAAUAUAGUAUUCCACAAUAUGUUGUGCUAUUCUAAUAUUAUUGUGUUUUUUUACUGACAUUGUUAUUUGCUGUUAUUUUUUGUUUUAAUAUUGUUACUGUUGUUACUUGUUGUACGGUGACCUUGAGUGGUUUGAAAGGCGCCUUAAAUAAAAUGCAUUAUUAUUAUUAUUAUUAUUAUUAGCUGUACACUUGAUAAAAAAAAUUAAAUAUAAACUUAUGCAAUUGUAUAUAUAUAUAUAUAUAUAUAUAUAGUGUACAGUUUUCUUUUAUUGCAUCUUGAAAUAAAUGUUUCUGAGUUCUGUGUUUGUUUAUUUUUUUUAUUUUUAUUUUUUUAACAAUUUUUUUAGGAAGAUUACAGCCUUUAAUCUCCUCAAAAUAAAUGUGCAUAUAAACCAUGAACAAUUUAAUUAUAGCUGUAUUUAUAAAAUGCUUACUAAUGACUAUUAAUUUUGGGAGUAGGCUAGCAACAGUUGAUGUUGAGGCCUAAGAUAUUUUUUAAGCUGUAAUGAUGAAAAAACAACAACAACACAAAAUUGCUUUUUUUUCUGCUGGUGAUUAAAGAGAUGAUUAAGUCUCCCUCCCUCUCUCUCUCUCUCUCUCUCUCUCUCUCUCUGACACCAAGCCCAUCCCCUCUCCCACACAUUCACACAAACUCAGCACACACACUUAACACACACACACUUAACACACAAACACACACACACACAUACACAUUACCCAGAGGGACAGAGUGACAUCAGAUGUAUGGUAGUUUUUUAAUUUUCUAUCAUCCAUAUAGUGUUGUAUAGUCAUGAAACUAUGCAUAUUUCCUCAGCAUGACUUGUCUUCUAUGUGUACAUUUUGUUGAAUUGUUUAGAACUUGCACUUAAAAAAAUAAAAGACAUUUACUGGUUC